rnacentral:rRNA from 1 species
GACGAACGCUGGCGGCGUGCUUAACACAUGCAAGUCGAGCGGUAAGGCCCUUUCGGGGGUACACGAGCGGCGAACGGGUGAGUAACACGUGGGUGACCUGCCCUCAGCUCUGGGAUAAGCCUGGGAAACCGGGUCUAAUACUGGAUAUGACUCCAUGACGCAUGUUGUGGGGUGGAAAGCCUUGUGCGGCUGAGGAUGGGCCCGCGGCCUAUCAGCUUGUUGGUGGGGUGANGGCCUACCAAGGCGACGACGGGUAGCCGGCCUGAGAGGGCGACCGGCCACACUGGGACUGAGACACGGCCCAGACUCCUACGGGAGGCAGCAGUGGGAAUAUUGGACAAUGGGCGCAAGCCUGAUCCAGCAACGCCGCGUGGAGGACGAAGGUCUUCGGAUCGUAAACUCCUGUCAGGUGGGACGAAGGUUUGGGGUGAUAGCUCUCAAGCUUGACGGUACUACCAGA